rnacentral:rRNA from 1 species
ACAAUGGGGGCAACCCUGAUCCAGCAAUGCCGCGUGCAGGAAGAAGGCCUUCGGGUUGUAAACUGCUUUUGUACGGAACGAAACAGUCUGGGUUAAUACCCUGGGCUAAUGACGGUACCGUAAGAAUAAGCACCGGCUAACUACGUGCCAGCAGCCGCGGUAAUACGUAGGGUGCGAGCGUUAAUCGGAAUUACUGGGCGUAAAGCGUGCGCAGGCGGUUUUGUAAGACAGAGGUGAAAUCCCCGGGCUCAACCUGGGAACUGCCUUUGUGACUGCAAGGCUAGAGUACGGCAGAGGGGGAUGGAAUUCCGCGUGUAGCAGUGAAAUGCGUAGAUAUGCGGAGGAACACCGAUGGCGAAGGCAAUCCCCUGGGCCUGUACUGACGCUCAUGCACGAAAGCGUGGGGAGCAAACAGGAUUAGAUACCCUGGUAGUCCACGCCCUAAACGAUGUCAACUGGUUGUUGGGUCUUAACUGACUCAGUAACGAAGCUAACGCGUGAAGUUGACCGCCUGGG